GAAUCGACUGUAAGUAUUUUGUUUCUAUGAAUAUGAAAUAAUAAAGUGUACAUUCAUUUUUUUGAUGAUUUUUUCUGUUUCAGAUUGGAAAUGGCUGUUUUGAGCUUAUCACUAAAAUUGUUCAGUCAAAGGGGAUAAGCAUUUACAUAGAAAAUCUGUAUGUCACCCGGACUUGGCUUGCACCCUAUGGCUGUGAUCCAUUGCAGUCCUUUCCUACUGAUGCUCAGAGGAUGGACAUCAUAGUUCUCCCUCUCUGGACACCUGGUCAUUUCCAGUUGUGUGUAAGUCUUGUCUUUUGACACAUACAAACUGUUAGAAUUUUGCUAUGUGUCUGAGAUGUAUUCAAGCUUUUAUGACGCAGUUUCAAAAGUCUUUGAUUAUGAUCGCUUGCAAUGACAUUGUUUUCAG